rnacentral:lncRNA from 1 species
GGAUUUUGUUAUCUAUUUGGGAUCCCCAGAGAUUCCAUAUGAAUGGAUGAAGUUUUGCUCUGUCCCCAAGCUGGAAUGCAGUGGUGCAAUCUUGGUUCACUGCAACCUCUGCCUCCCAGGUUCAAGCGAUUCUCCUGUCUCAGCCUCCUGAGUAGCUGGGAUUACAGGUGCAUGCCACCAUGCCCAGCUAAUUUUUAUAUUUUUAGUAGAGACUGGGUUUCACCAUGUUGGCCAGGCUGGUCUCGAACUCCCGACCUCAGGUGAUCCGACUGCCUCAGCCUCCCAAAGUGCUGGGAUUACAAGCAUGAGCCACUGCGCCCAGACUUAAUGAUCAUUCUUUAACAGCCCUUUCUUGAUUUGUGUGUUUGUAUGUGUGUGUGUGUGUGCGUGGGUGUGAAUGUAAUGCAUGUAGUGGAGGUGUUUCUUAUAUAUUAUUUUUCCUUUUCCUUUUUUCUUAUGUCUAUUACUACUCCAUUUUAUAACAUUUAUAUUCUAUAUUAGCAAAAUUGUUAUCUCAAAUUUAAUGUUUGUAAGGUUCUUGUCACUAACCAAUCUAUCUUUAUAGUUUCUCUGUCAGCAGUUUUUUUUUAUAACAGAGUUAUUUACUUUUUUAUUCAUGCUUCUUUUCAUUCAUCAUCUUUUGGUGUGUUUCUCUCUGUAGUGGAUAUCAUGUUUGCUCAUCGUUUGAAAUGUCUUGUUAUAUAUAACAUUUGUAAGAAACAUGUUGAAAUUUUAUGCUCACAUUUUCAAGCUGCAUUUCAAGCUCUUU